UACGUAGGGUGCAGGCGUUAAUCGGAAUUACUGGGCGUAAAGCGUGCGCAGGCGGUUUCUUAAGUCAGAUGUGAAAGCCCCGGGCUUAACCUGGGAACUGCGUUUGAAACUGGGAGACUUGAGUGUGGCAGAGGGGGGUGGAAUUCCGACGUGUAGCAGUGAAAUGCGUAGAUAUGUGGAGGAACACCGAUGGCGAAGGCAGCCCCCUGGGCCUGUACUGACGCUCAUGCACGAAAGCGUGGGGAGCAACAGG
rnacentral:rRNA from 1 species